GCAGAAGGCUCAGCCCGGGCUGCUGAGGCCCCAGAAUGCAGCAGAAGACUGAACAUUUAUCUGUGGCCCACGCAGGGAAGAUCAUGAGACAAGAAGGGAAGUUGCUGGAGUAUGAUCAAUACUCACUACACUGCUUCUGCUGCCACCUUAUCAAAUGAGUCUCCCUAAGCCUGAAUUCUACAUAAUGGGACACAGUGCCAAAGACAGAUGCCAAGAUUUUGAUUUCGGUGAAAUUACUUCUGAUUUACACCUGUGUAACCACGAAGAGAUUCAGGGCCAAAUGGCUUCUCACUUCUCCAUCUGUCUCAGACCUAUAUGGUGACUAGAACAUCCAGGAAAUACCAAGAGAGUCUCAUCUGGAGAUCAUAAUGAGAAUAAAUUCUCCCUGGGGUUUCCACUUCUCAUUGCUGCUGUUGUCAUCUAUAAGGAAUCAUGCACCUUUACUCUUGUUGCAAUCUGUGUCAUGAGAAUGUGGUAUCAGAAACGUAAUGUCUAGAGUCCUUUCAUUGUUACAGUAACGACUGGGGGCCAAAAGGGUCAUCCAUAUUAUUCUGCAUUGCAUUAAGCUGUGAAAAGCGGAGAAUUAGGAAGCAGCAGAACCCAGACCUGUAAUUUACAUAGUAUGGUAGAUAAUAAAUUCAUUAUUAUACAUUUUACAAGAUUGCAAAUGCAGGGAAACUGACUUACACUCACUGUCAAGAUAAAGACUCUCAUGAGAAUGGGAAACUGUACCAACUAUUUAUUCAGAUAUCAUUAAUAUUUUGGCCACUUAAGGGACUCACAGUUGUCACUGCGAUGCACACCAUUGCCUCUGAGAACUUUGUAAGCCAAUGGAAUUCAAAUUCUCCUGUUCUAUAACCACAAGUCCCUAUCAUUUGAGCCAACAAAUAAUUUCAGUUAGUGGUAUAUGGCCUAUGACACACAAUUGAGCAGUUGCAGUUCCAGCUAGUAGAAGUCAGUGGUUCACAUACACGCACAAUUCAUAAAGGGCCAAUUCUGGUUUGUCCUAAUUGGAUAUAAGAUCCCUCCUCCACAAGCCAUCCCAACUCAAUCUCACACAGAUUCUCUGCAUCUCCACUGCAGGUCUGAGGUAAGAAAGCAGCCAAAUGUUUCUCUUCCCAAACCAGUGGGCAGGAGGUGGACAGGGAGGGGUGGAAAGCCUGAUGAAGCAUCGGGUAAUAUUCUGCUACUGGGAAGGGCUAGCAGCAAAUUACUUACCUCCUGUUUUAGGCACAAUUCUUCCACAGCUGCUUCUGGAGUGGUAGAGCUAUGCACCACCUUUUAUAUGGGACUGGUUGUUAAAGGACAAUCUAGCCCAAAAGUAUUAUGGUCUCAAUCAGGCUGCCCUGCAAAACAGCUUAGAUUGGCUAUUGCAUUAAAAAGCAACAAGAUAUAAUGUUGUUAGUGAUACUAUAGUUAUGGUUAAGAUGGUAUUUUCAAUGUAAACUCCUACUUCUCCUGAAAUAUAAAAUUCCCCAGAAAUGGCCCAUGCUUGUUCUCCAUUAACAAAGUUUCUUGAUAAGUUCAAUUAAAUUCCAGGUACUUUAAAAGUAUCGGAGGUAGAUAACAGAAUGAAAAUAAGUUUUUUGUGGGGGGGUUUAUUUACCCAUGUAAAAUAUUUUUCAGAACCUUUAUCUUUUGUGCUUGGGUAGCUCACACACAAAUUAGUGUUAUAACUUGAUUUUGGUAUGGACUUAGGCCACAUUUUUCAAAUGUAGAUACCCAAAGUUAGGUCCUAUCCCUGUAUUUAUUACAUAUUUUGAGGGCUUAACUGGGCAUCUACCUUGACCUUUUGAUAUGGCAUCAGGCAAGCUCUCUCUCAGAGUGUUGGCCUAGGGCUAACAUGUUCCUGACAGUUACUUUAUAAACAAGGCUUACCUACCCUCCAUGCCUGACUUCUGGAGCUGACCUGGUGUGUACCAAACCUAAACUAUUUUAUUUUGUGUUGCAUCUCUUCACCACUUCUUUCAUCUGUAUUUUUUCUAAUAUCAAUGCAAUAACACUUAUAUCAAUGGGACUGCUUGUGUGAGUAAGGAAUACUCAUGUGAGUAAAAGAGGCAAGAUUGGGGCUUUAAUUUGUAAGCUUUUUGGUAUAAGGUCUGUGUCUUUAUGUUCAUUUAAUGAUUUGCACACUUGUGGCACUAUAGAAAUAGUUAAUAAUAAUUAAUAUACAUUAUUAGCAAACUAGGGCCUGGAAUAGCUCUCCUGGGAGAUGGAGGACAAAAAGCAAAUAAGCCACAUGGAUAUGGGACAACAUGUAAAUCUCUGUGUCAGUAAAACAAGAAUUCAAAGCAGGGAGAACUCAAAAACCAAGCAAGAUAGCAUGGCAUUAAGAUUAAUUGCAACACAGCAACCAUACCGGGUGUUUUAUAAAAGAAAAUGGUUCUAGUCCCAGUUCUGCCUUUGACUUGACCUAUCUGUGCCUACAUAUAGUAACUAAGCACUAUUAUUGCUCAUGGAGCAAGGUAUUAAUUGACAUAAGGGUGGCAGAAUUCAACCUAGACCUACUUACCCUGGUUACAGAACGUGUUUGUCUAAAUAAAGUGGCAGCCUCCCAAGUUUUAUUGAACUGUUGCACAUUUCAUUUUGUAUUAAUUUAUUUAGCUUUAUUACGUAAUAAAGUCUAUGGUUUUAUCUUGAGCGAACUCCCUAAGAUUGGCAUGCCUGGUUAUAUUGAUCCUGAGGAAGAUUUCAUGGGAGAACAUUUGCAUACACUAGCAUCAUCACCCUCUAACCUACAUUCUCUGGACUUGUUUGUGGAGCUUGUGAAUCCCUUAAAUUUCUUUUCUUGAAAUUAUCAUUUCACCCUUGCCUCCCAAGUUGCUAUGUUGUUUGCUAAGCCAAUUUCCCCAAGUCAUUAUUUUAGCUAUCAGGCAUUAAAUUGCUCUUGAAAUUUGGCCUCAGUCCAUCUGAACAAACAAACUUAACUUAAUUGGCAUGCAUUAUGUUGCAUCAUCUCCUGUGGGGGUUAAAAAAAAGAUAAAAAAAAAACAGGUAAAUAUUCUUAUUUCUUUCAAAUGGUUGCAAAAAAAAUCUAAAUCUUUACGCAUUGAUGUUUUCCUUAAAUAGUUUUCGUUAGAGAUGACAGAAUGUCAACUGUCUUCCUAAUUUUGGGCCUGAGGGAAUUAAUAAGAUUUAAAUUUAAUUAUCCGUAUUCAA